rnacentral:rRNA from 1 species
UACGUAGGGUGCGAGCGUUGUCCGGAAUUAUUGGGCGUAAAGGGCUCGUAGGCGGUCUGUCACGUCGGGAGUGAAAACACGGGGCUUAACCCCGUGCCUGCUUCCGAUACGGGCAGACUAGAGGUAUGCAGGGGAGAACGGAAUUCCUGGUGUAGCGGUGAAAUGCGCAGAUAUCAGGAGGAACACCGGUGGCGAAGGCGGUUCUCUGGGCCAUUACUGACGCUGAGGAGCGAAAGCGUGGGGAGCGAACAGG